AGCGAACGCUGGCGGCAGGCCUAACACAUGCAAGUCGAACGGAUCCUUCGGGAUUAGUGGCGGACGGGUGAGUAACACGUGGGAACGUGCCCUUUGGUUCGGAACAACUCAGGGAUACUUGAGCUAAUACCGGAUGUGCCCUUCGGGGGAAAGAUUCAUCGCCGUUGGAGCGGCCCGCGUCUGAUUAGCUAGUUGGUGGGGUAAAGGCCCACCAAGGCGACGAUCAGUAGCUGGUCUGAGGGGAUGAUCAGCCACAUUGGGACUGAGACACGGCCCAAACUCCUACGGGAGGCAGCAGUGGGGAAUCUUGCGCAAUGGGCGAAAGCCUGACGCAGCCAUGCCGCGUGAAUGAUGAAGGUCUUAGGAUUGUAAAAUUCUUUCACCGGGGACGAUAAUGACGGUACCCGGAGAAGAAGCCCCGGCUAACUUCGUGCCAGCCGCCGCCGUAA
rnacentral:rRNA from 1 species